CCUUCAUCUCUAAGCAACUGAUCUCUUAGCAACAAGAAGCACCUUCAUAAGAGAUGCCACACAGAGUGGUCAUCAGAAAACCUGUUCUGAUCUUUAAAAAGAGCACACCCGCUAACACAGGUAGCUCGCAUCAGGAACUGAAUGAAGUAAUAACAAAAGGACACAGCUACAAAUCAACAAGAUGCACCAUCAGAGUAGCAAUCCCAAUGACCCAGGAACAACUGGUAACCUUUAAUAGGCUACACAUGGCCCCUGCAACCAUCUGUGGAGACUAGGAUGGGAUACAAUUGUGGAUCUUGCUCUUCCCAGGCUAUGUGCAGUGUUACCAUACACACUAAUGUUGCAAAGAUAGAAGAAGGAAAAGCUGAGGGGCAGCAGGCAAGCUGAAGUGCUGUACCAGGAUACCAGAUAGGGACCCUGCUUCCCAGACUAACAGACCUGAAUCCUGGAAUGUGAUUGAAAUCUUGGAGAUGGGGGAAAUUGGUGGAGAGUGAAGGAGGAGUUUGCAAAAAGACUGGAGGACACAGAAGUAGUGGGUCAAAUUCUCUCCUGGAAAUGGAGAGAGUGUAGCCCGUUAUGUUCCUUGUGCCAAUUAUUUAUUCACAGUUUUCCACUCUGAUUGUAUUUCACAGGGUUUGUUUGUUUAACUUUUCCUUAUGUUUCUAAUGUUUAUUGGUGUUUGAUAGUAACCACUUAUAUUCAAAUUCUUUUUUUCAUAGAUUUGAAAUUUGCAUGUGGUGAUGGAGCAAUGACUAACGAGAUAUUUUGAAUGCAUAUAGGUAUUAUAAAUAAAAUAAAAUUAACAGA